rnacentral:rRNA from 1 species
UACAGAGGGUGCGAGCGUUAAUCGGAAUUACUGGGCGUAAAGCGUGCGUAGACGGUUAUUUAAGUCGGGUGUGAAAGCCCCGGGCUCAACCUGGGAAUUGCAUUCGAGACUGAAUAGCUAGGGUACGGUAGAGGGAAGUGGAAUUUCCGGUGUAGCGGUGAAAUGCGUAGAUAUCGGAAGGAACAUCAGUGGCGAAAGCGGCAGCCUGGACCGAUACUGACGCUGAGGUGCGAAAGCGUGGGGAGCAAACAGG